GACGACGUUCUGCAGUGGGACUUCGACUGCGUACCAGACGUUUUCUUUUCGCAGCAAGUCGCAAACUGAUACUUUGGGAUCGAUGACACGGGGCUCACAAUAACGAAGAAGCCAAAAAGCAUUUUUAUACGCCUCGCAACCGAGCAACUUUUUCCGCGUAGAGGGGGUUACUUCUGGCGGUUGCUGGAACACCGGUGCAUCAAGAGAGCGCUGGACAGGCACGUCUCUCGUGCAGACACGUACUCAGUGCACGUAUUGUGUGAGCCUGCCACGUGGAUGCGCGGAUCCAUCAGUACUUGAACUGGAGCGAGCGUGUCUACUGUGGAGAGCACGGCGCAGAGGACACGGUUCGUCUUUGGAAGCACUGGUGCCGAUUCCGCGUUGGCGACAACGCUCAUAUGAGGAAGGGAGGUCCACAGGAAAAACAGAAAGUUUUUCUCUUCACUGAUGGACAAGUUCUCGGGUAAAAUGCCGCGGUGCGUGAGCGAUGCGUAGGCUCCUGCACGGCACGCAGUUCUAGCGAGCGAAAAUGGUAUGCGGGCGGAAAAAGUGAAGGCGUGAAAGAAUCACUGAGAUCAGAUCUUCUAUGAAAGAAACUGAUCGGGUUCGUUUCGCUCAUACUUCUAGUCUGCGACAGGAAUGAAGCCGUAUACUCAUCUGACUACACAAAAGCGCACACAUGGUGAACUCAAACCGUGAGGGCGUAUCGACAGACUCCCUUGCCGCGUGUCGUGUGUCGCGGCCAACGGAUCGGUGCACCAUCAUCGACAAUACACCCGAGCCCUGUCCAGUUGUCUCGUUGGAGCGCCAACAUGUCAUCACUUCCUUCGAACAGCUCCUUAGCAGUGUAGCGUGUCAGUGUGAUGACCGCAGCUCUUGAGGCUGCCCUCGGCCGUGGAGCUCUUCAUGGAAUCACAAUGACGCCGGUUCUGGCUGACUGGUCGGGCACUUCAAUGUCACCGGCUCGCUUUCCAACGUCAAGCCGUCAGCGCGCAUCACUGUUAUUCCCGCGGUUCAGAUCGAGGCGGAAUGCCCACCAUACAGAAAAGACGGACGGAAGUCAGGUUCUUUCUCUAGUCCACUCGACGACGCACGCACGGGCUGCGUUCCUGCUUUCUCUAACUUGGUUGUCGAUCGUGAACAGUUAAGAACAUUUCGCGAGCACCCGCUUGGACGUAUUUAGCUGUGAAGCUCGCCGAAACGACCUGGGCAGAGGCAUCUGAAUCCCUAGAAACACGGGGCCGAAACCUGUCAUCAUUCGAACGGUUCCGAGAUCCGAAAACGUGACUUUCGCCGAUGAGAGCAACGCAAGCUUCCGACAGGAUCGCAUGCCUGUUCGUAGGAUGUUACAGGUCCGGCAACUCGCCUGAUGCGCUAUGGCGAUCCAUGCUGGAUAUGGUCCUCAUGUCUGUAUCUGGAAUACAAGGGUAUGUGCCGAGGCGGCAUACGUCGUCGGAAACUCGACUUGAGAUCGGCUCGUGACCGAAGGAGAGCAUUGAGAGCUCCACAAGUUAGCGCUUUUAUGCAGCAAUGCGCUGUGUAGGGGGCUAGCGAUCAUGCGCCGAGACCAGAGCGUGCCAGUAGCUCGAACUUGCUGCUAAACUCCGACCGAGAUGCUCGUUUCAAGCCCUGUCUUAUUGCUCCUCAGGAACUAUAUAGGCACGAAGUUGCCCAUAAAACCAAGUA
rnacentral:misc_RNA from 1 species